AGCCAGCCGACCCCACGACCCUUAUAAUUACUGCUGUCCCCAUGUCGUUCGUAUGCUAAAGCUUGUCACCGUCUCCCGUCCCACCACAACAGGGUCCUCACUGCCCCUCACAUGGCUUCCAGUUCCAGAAUGCCACUCUGUGGUGUGGCUCUUAGCACGACUCUGUCGCCAACGGCCUUGGCCUGGAGUUCCCUCAUCAGGGGAACCUGAGGCAAGGACGUGUGUGUGCAGGCAGUUUAUUUUAGAGGUGAUCCCAGGGAGCAGAAACAGGGGACCGACACAACUGAAAAAAGCCAACAUCACAGAGCAUCUUUAGGUCAGUGUCGCGGGUGACUGGGACUCAGUGCCUCCAGGCCCCUCUGAACGGUGUACAGAAGGACCCUUGGGCUUGUCAGCCAGAUGACUGAUUGACGGAUCACCCCUCCACCGGCUCCCACGCCCCACGGGUGAGAGGUUGUUGGCCCAGUGGAAGCUAACUGCCCCCAGCACGUCCCCAUGCUGAGCACGCUCCUGCCGGCAGUCCGUGUUGGGCACUGUACAAGCCCCAGGGCAGAAAAAGAAAAAGCCUUGUGCUCGCGUGUGGCAAGAUGCCGGCCGCGCAAAGUGAGUUGAAGCCCGCGUAGAACUGUUUGGCCCAGCACGGCUGGAAACAGAGGUGCCGCUGAGCGCCAGGGAGGCUGUGGGUACGCUCUCGAGCCAGACUGGGUUCUAAUCCUUUCUCGGUGUGUCAUUUUCCUCCACUUACAAAAGGGAGCGUUCUAAAAGGAAAACACGCUUUACCGGGUUGUCACGAGGCAAAUGAGAAAGCCCACAGCACCUGGCACAUAAUAAUCCCUCAAUGAAGAGUGACUUCUAUUAUCCCCAUUUUCCGGUUGAAGACACUGAGAUGUAAUUUUGAAGGGAUGAGAGAGGGGAACAAGUGGGGGAGGGAGACUUCAUUUCGGCUCCACUCACACCUCCAGAGAAGGCUCGGUCGGCAGCUCAGAGAAAAGCCUGGUAUUUCUGGGAGAGACCCUCUCCCGCUUCGCCCUUCCACGCCCACUUCCCCUACCGCGUGAGGGGCCUCAGGAGCGUUUUCUGCCCCUAAAUGAGUAGGCACGCUUCCUCUGUCGCGGGGAAAGGGUCUGUAGGUGCCUUGUGAUGUCACAGCUGGUUGCUAUGGAGAUCAGGUUGCUGUAAAUGUCAGUCCGGGUCCACCAGGAGCACAGUGAUCAACAUCCCAGCCUGGUGCAGGGAGAGAGGAAAAUGAGGCACCCUGGGGGCUCUCCCAAGUGCCUCUCCCCGCGCCCCAAACACGCGGACGCACAACAGCGCAGCCAGCAGGCCCCGCGAACGUCCCCUGGCCCGCCCCACGCGUGGCAAUAUGUGUUUGGGGAGAAACAACCUUGGCAGCCGAGAGCAGGGUGACACAUGGUCCGCAUCAGUCACUGUCCCCUCCCACUCCUUCUGGAAGAAAGGUGCUGCUCAGCAGGUGGCAGUGGCAUCCGGAGCGUCCCCAUGGCAACACUGACUGAGGUCAGACCUCAUCACUGCGCUGACCUCACUCGGGGGGCCACUGGACCCGGGCUGGGCUGUCGCUGCCACGGGGGGAAAUGGAAAAGCUGGGAAGAGGUUUUCCAGAAAAACGAAUCUGCCCUCUCAGGGUCAUGGCUCCUCCCGACAAGGAACCUGACCUUUCCGGACUCUGUGUUCACCGCCAUUGCUCGGAAUGAGUAAGUUAACAACGCGAAGCUCCCAGCGCAGUGCCUGACCAGGGUAGGAAAAAGGAGAUAUGGAGGGCCCUUCCCCCAGCUCAAUGCCUAGGGACCACAGCUGGCCCUGAGUCAGCAGAGAUCGUGCAGAAGAAUCCCCGUGUGCCCAGAUGGACACUUAUGCGUCUGUGUGGCUAUCCUCAGUAGAAAAUCAGAGGUGCAAAAAUGUU